GCAACCGGAAAGACGGGCCCGGUGCCGACUCCGUGGGUCAAAAAGACCGCGAUCCGAUGCCAGGAUGAGGAGGGUGAAAACAAACGCUCGGGGCAUGUGAUCUGUGACCGCCUCUCCUUUUCCCCGUCCCUCUCACUGUUCCCCUUUUAACCGCAUCCGUUUGCCUUCUUGUUCCCCACCGAGACCCAUGGAGUGUGUGACUUUAACAAACGAUCAACUUUGGGAUUCAUGUGGAGCAUCUCAUAUUUCACAAGUGAAUCUUAGAAGGCCGUUAUGUGGAGCACUCCAUCUCCAAGAAAAAGAAACUUAUCCUACUCGUUAGGCUAAGUGGGAAUUAAGAUGGCUUGGCAUCGAAAAAUUGGAUGAUCACAACAUUGCCUUGCUCUCUACAUGGGCGUGGAGGUACAUGAAUAACGCCAUCAGCUAUUGGAGAAAGAUUGUGCAUGGAGUCAACCAUUCGAGGAGGAAGAUGGGCCUUGGGGUCAGGCAUAAUAACCUCAAGCCCGGUAAUGACAUCGAUGCCAAGUUCUAUGAUCGACUAUUGAGAAGAAACUUGCCGAUUGCCAUGUACCAGAGGCUAGGAUUCUAUUCUUGGAGGAUCAAAAUCCCUCACCUCAUGACACUACAAGAGAAUAAAAGGAUGGUAGAAAUAUCAUGUACUCUCGCAUCCUCUCAUCCUUCGAAUGAGAUGGACAGAUCUCAGUGGAAGCUGGAGACUGACCAUGAGUUCAAUGUGAAAUCAUUCCAUCAAAAUAUCAAUUCCAGCGUA